GAUGAACGCUAGCUACAGGCUUAACACAUGCAAGUCGAGGGGCAGCAUGAACUUAGCUUGCUAAGUUUGAUGGCGACCGGCGCACGGGUGAGUAACACGUAUCCAACCUUCCGUUUACUCAGGGAUAGCCUUUCGAAAGAAAGAUUAAUACCUGAUAGUAUGGUGAGAUUACAUGAUAGCACCAUUAAAGAUUUAUUGGUAAACGAUGGGGAUGCGUUCCAUUAGGUAGUAGGCGGGGUAACGGCCCACCUAGCCGACGAUGGAUAGGGGUUCUGAGAGGAAGGUCCCCCCACAUUGGUACUGAGACACGGACCAAAACUCCUACGGGAGGCAGCAGUGAGGAAUAUUGGUCAAUGGCCGAGAGGCUGAACCAGCCAAGUCGCGUGAAGGAAGAAGGAUCUAUGGUUUGUAAACUGCUUUUAUAAGGGAAUAAAGUGAGUCUCGUGAGGCUUUUUGCAUGUACCUUAUGAAUAAGGACCGGCUAAUUCCGUGCCAGCAGCCGCGGU
rnacentral:rRNA from 1 species